AGCGCAGUUGGGAGCGCGCCACACUGGCAGUGUGGAGGUCAGGGGUUCGAAUCCCCU
rnacentral:tRNA from 1 species